CAGUAAUAUGUUCAUUCAUUCACUUAAGACAUACUUGGUGAGUGCUUACUAUAUGUCAGUUACAGUGGCAGGUGCUAAGGAUACUGUGAUAAGAAAAUAAACAUGGUCCUCUACCUUCAAGGAGUUUAUAAUAUAGUGGAGAAAACAGAUGCAGGAAGGAUUUGUCACACAAAUGAAUAUAAAUAGAAAUAGUCUGAAGUUAUGUGAAGAAAAUGGAGUUUCUUAAGAGGUGUCUUGGGGAAUAUAAUUUAGAUGGAGGAGAGUUAGGAGGAUUACUAGGGAACUUUUCUGGGUAGCCAAGUAAGAGGUGGGCACUGAAAUGAAAAAGAAACGUAGAAAACCAGAGAAGUUGGUCUUAUCCACCCUUAAGAAACAAAUGAUUCACCCAUCAGGAAUGUGAGACCGGGAGGCUUCAAAGUGAUUUCUUUGAAGUGCAGCCACACAAGCCCUUAGAGCAGAGCUUAGCAGAAAAAAUAAAUAAAUAAAUAAAAAUAAACCAAGGUAGUAUAGGGACCUCUCAGCCUGUUCCCCAGUCACCUCUGGAUGACUCUACUCAUUUACUUAUUCAUUCACUCAUUCAAGAAAUAUUUAUGGAAUACUCACAGGUGGGAGGUAUUAUACUAAAUGAUGAGGAUUUGGGAGAAGACAAUCUCCACCCUAUCUCUCAGCAUGAGGGCAGAAGCUUGGGUAGGCUCUUCCUCAAAGGGCUCCAAGAAUCACCUUGGUCUUCACCUUACAGAAUCUGCUAGACACAACCACAUGCAUAUGUUUAAUAAGACUUUUAUGCCCUCCCCUCUAGCAGACUGGUAUUUUUCUUUUGUAACUCAGGACAACUACACCUAGUCCUCCCAGAAGAGGCAAAGGUUCUUUACCCACAUAAACUAGGGAACAUGGCAGACUGACACCAAACACAGUGUGGCCGCCCAGUCCCUCCAGAUAAACAUAAGGAAAGGUCAUCCAAACACAGGAAGACGGCCGCCCCCUUCCCUUUUCCUUUACCCCCUCCCCUUCC
rnacentral:lncRNA from 1 species